CAGAUAAACACGAAGAGAUGUCAUAAUACUCCUGCCGAUCGAUAAAAGAUUUGGAGAUGGACUGUAGAUCUCCCAAUCUGAUCUGGAAGUGGAAUCGCAUUUGUGUUCUUAGCAGGGGAGGAUUUCAUCAUCUGAAGGUUGUGAUUGGUCCUCUCACUUAUCUUUUGGUCUUGCCAGUCAGUGAAUUCAAACAGGUGUCAUCAGAACUCUAAAUUCAAAUAUUGUAUUUUUGACAAUAGGUGUCAUCGAAGACGAGCACACACACGUCUUGUGCUACGUAAAGAGCCUCGGCAAAGCUCCAGUAGUGACCAAUUGCCUUGCUUCUGGCAUGGAGGGAGCAGUUUUUCUUAUUUGCUUCAAGACCAAUGGUCAUGGUUUAUGAUCAAGGAAUAGCACAUCCAAAAGAAGAGAUGUGCGUGGCUCGUCAGUAGCAGUGGUAACCUGCAGCUUUGACUUUCUUUGUGAGUUUGAAAGUGCUACAGAGACGAGACGCUGCUGCCAGGAUUUGAGAGAGCAAAGUUGUCGCUGGGGGAGGCCUGCUGCUGGGAUUUGAAGAUGAUAUGGUACCCGAAGGCACCACCGGAGCUCGACGACGACAUGGUACCUGAAGGUAACGGACGGAGCUUGUGGAUGAUACGGCACCCUAAGGCACGCCGUUAGAGCUCGACGACAAUAUCGGCACCCUAAGGCACGCCGUGUCGGAGCUUGAGGAUGAUACGGCACCCUAAGGCACGCCGUGCUGGAGCUCGACGACAAUAUCGGCACCCUAAGGCACGCCGUGUCGGAGCAUUUUAUGGUAUCGCUUCGCUGGAGGCCUGCAUCAUUUGAGAACAGCAAAGGAAAAGAUGCAGAUUGGUGAAAAUCUCACCCUCUUCUUUCUUGCUUUCUUCCUCUCCUUGGCUGCUGUCCUCUGUUUUUUUUCACAGUCUUCCUAUUCGUCCGCUCCUGCUGCCUCUUCACGUUGCGGCCUCCUCUUUUUCUUUUCAUGUGGUGCUUAUAUACUGCACUAGAGAUGAGUUUGGCUUGUGUACAACAUUGAAAGUUUUAGAGUUGAACUUGAAGUGAAAUAGCUGGACACCUUAUCUCCUUUCUCUUUUGACGUCAAGGUUGUAACUUCUUCUUCUUUUUUUUUUUUUUAACUGCUUGUCUAGACUUUCAAAGAAGCUAGAAGUCAAAUGCUUUAUAAGCAGCUUAAAAACUCAAAGCUUUUUUUUUUUUUUGCUUUUUGUUUAGAG